UCUGCAGUAGCUCAAUUAUGGAAGAGCAUCCAACUAUCUUAGGAAGGUCCAAGUUCAAAUCUUGGUUGCGGAC